GUACAGGGUAGCCUAGUGGUCAUGGCAUCUGCCCGGUAAGCGGAAGGUCGUGGGUUCGAUUCCCAUCCCUUGACA
rnacentral:tRNA from 1 species